UGUUACUGAAGGUGGGCUUUGAGGUUUCAAAAGCUCAUGGAGGGGCUGGGGAUUUAGCUCAGUGGUAGAGCGCUUACCUAGGAAGCGCAAGGUCCUGGGUUCAGUCCCCAGCUCUGAAAAAAAGAACAACAACAACAACAACAACAACAAAAAGCUCAUGGCAUUCUUAGUUAAGUUGCGAGCUCUCUGUCUCUGUCUCUGUCUCUGUCUCUGUCUCUGUCUCCCCCUCUCUCUCCCUCUUUCUCCCCGCCCGCCUGCCCGCCUGCCUGCCUUCCUUCCUGCUGGAGGCUCAGGUGUAAAUGCUCCACAUUGCUCCAGCACUCUAUCUCCUUGCUGCUGUGUUCCACACCUGAUGGUCAUUGACUCUAAUCCUGUGGAGUUGUAAGUCUCCUUGGUCAUGGUGUCACAUUGUAGCAGUAGAAGAAUUGACAGCUUAGACAGUUGAUAAUGGAUGUCCUGGAUGCCAGUGCCUGUGGAUAAGGUUACUUUGUCCUCAGUCAUCAGAGCAGUGGAACAUGGCAGACCAUCAGAGGAUUCAAGGUGGGUGGGUGAGCUUGUAUAACUUAAAAA
rnacentral:lncRNA from 1 species